rnacentral:rRNA from 1 species
AUGAACGCUAGCGACAGGCCUAACACAUGCAAGUCGAGGGGCAGCACAAGGAGCAAUCUGAGGUGGCGACCGGCGCACGGGUGAGUAACACGUAUGCAACCUGCCUGUAAGCGGGGAAUAACCCGUUGAAAGACGGACUAAUACCGCAUAAUACUAAAUUACUGCAUGGUAAUUUAUUUAAACAUUUAUGGCUUACAGAUGGGCAUGCGCAUGAUUAGCUAGUUGGAGAGGUAACGGCUCCCCAAGGCAACGAUCAUUAGGGGUUCUGAGAGGAAGGUCCCCCACACUGGUACUGAGACACGGACCAGACUCCUACGGGAGGCAGCAGUGAGGAAUAUUGGUCAAUGGACGAGAGUCUGGACCAGCCAAGUCGCGUGCAGGAAGAAUGUUCCCUAUGGAUUGUAAACUGCUUUUGCAGGGGAAUAAAGUGCAUCACGUGUGAUGUUUUGUAUGUACUCUGCGAAUAAGGAUCGGCUAACUCCGUGCCAGCCGCUGC